rnacentral:lncRNA from 1 species
GCCGGAGGGGCCGCCCUUGCUAGAGGAGUGCGAGAGCUGCGCGUGCGCGGUACCUGAAGGCUGCCGAAGAUGACGCUCGCCAAGCAGGUCUACCGAGUGCUUUUACGCCGCAGCGCUACCUUCGCUCUCACGGUCGUGGUGGGCGCCUUGCUCUUCGAGCGAGCCUUCGACCAGGGCGCGGACUCCAUCUUCGAGCAGAUUAACAAGGAGGUAAGUCGGCCUGUAGGGUCGCGCAGGCCCGAGCCGGGGACUUGCGUAGAACGCGGGCCGGGGCUGGGUGAAGGUCAAACGGGGCCUUGAUAUACGAGAGGCCCCGGCUUCCGGCCUCUCGCGGUUCUUCGAAACAGCUGAACGCCUGCUUGGGCUUUCUCUGUGCGUCUUGCAUGGGGCCACCAGGAAGGUACGAGGGACAGUCUCCCAAACAAGCGAAAGCCAGAGGGCCUGAAAGGAUGUGCAGCUUGCAAUGACUACGGUCUGUUAAGAUCCUUAUUUUAUCUUUCAGGGGUGACCAAUGAGAGGGGUGACCAAUCUUAACUACCUGGAUUGUGAGCAUAGCGGGGUAAUGAAAGAAUUUAAUCAGUCACUAACGCACUUUAAUUUAUAGCAGAACUAACAACAGUUGAGACUACAGUUCCUAGAAGUCUUGGGGAGACGCUAUGGCAGGUAAACUAUAAACAAAUAAGCUGUGCCAAGUCAAGUCCCAAGUGCCUACUUAAUGCUGAAUUACAUGCAUGAACUUUUAUUGUGCUAGCCAAAGGCCAUGGCAUUGUUAUUCUAUGGUUCUUACCACCCAUUAUGAUCUGUUAGUUCAGCUGUGAAAUUUGUAGUUCAGGUUUUGCAGCAUCUACAAUGGAAGAACAGAUGUUUCACCUUAUACAUGGAAGAGAACAAUGGCCUGUGCUUCUGGGAAAGAGCCAUAGGAAGUGGCUGCUUUUUGCAAAUAAAUCAAGGUCUCUUGCUCCCUCAAAAGAUUCAGCAGUUUCUCUCCUGCUCCCCAGAAUGCUUGGAACUGCUUUCCAGAACACCUGUGGGAUGCAACCUCAUUCCUUCAAAAUCCGUCAAACAAACUCAUGUUUUCUGUGAAGCAUUUGCCUCAACCUUCUAGUUUUCAUGCCCUACUGUAUCUAUAACCUUAAGAAUGUGUAGCUGAAAUAAUGGCAUAUUUUUCCUGUUUUAUCUUUCUCCACAUCUUCCCUGUGACAAAUAUUCAGAUUGUAAUCUCCCUGGGGCAGGCACUUUCAUCUGCUCAUCAUCAUUUUAUUUUAUUUAUUUUAUAGACACUUUGGUGAUCUAUAAAUAGAAAUCAAGCUUUCUUAUUCUGAGGGUUUUUUGCUGUUGACAUAUAUCUGGAUGUUUUAUUCUGUGUGGUUGUACUUUUGGGGAGGCCACAGCACUGAUUUUGAGGCAAAGAGAAAGUGUUAAAGGCAAAGAAAGAGAACAGUUGACAAGUAAAGAGUGCAGUUGUAUGAGAAAAUGAGGAUGCAUAAUAUAGACUUUAAUGCUGUAGUCCUAAUUACACCUUUAGGGAGUAAAAAAGUAAAGGACCCCUGGACGGUUAAGUCCAGUCAAAGGUGACUAUGGGGUGCAAUGCUCUUCUCGCUUUUCAGGAUGAAGGUGUAAGUUCAGUUCAACAGGGCUUAUGAAUAAACAUAUUUAGGAUUAUACUGGAAUGAUGACACUCCUAUCAUGUAAGGUAAAGGGACCCCUGACCAUUAGGUCCAGUCGUGCUCAUCUUGCUUCAUUACCCAACGAGCCGGCGUACAGCUUCCGAGUCAUGUGGCCAGCAUGACGUAAGCCGCUUCUGACGAACCAGAGCAGCGCACGGAAACACCGUUUACCUUCCCGCUGGAGCGGUUCCUAUUUAUCUACUUGCACUUUGACGUUCUUUUGAACUGCUAGGUUGGCAGGAACAGGGACCAAGCAGCGGGAGCUCACCCCAUCGCGGGGAUUCGAACCGCCGACCUUCUGAUCAGCACGUCCUAGGCUCUGUGGUUUAACCCACAGCACCACCCGUGUCCCUAUCAUGUGCAGGUUAUCAAAGCAGCUGUGCAUCUUGUUACCUCUGUUGUCACCUUUAUUUUAAAUCACCUUGGGAGUAGUAUUGAGUGGUGUUGCUGUGUUUUGCAAAUACCACCCAUUAAUCCUGGUGGCAGUAAGUAGUGGACUGUGCCAGCUUGUAAUAUCCUGUUCAGCUGCAAACAAGCAUUCCUGAGGUUGUUGCUUAAGAUUACUGUAUUCUUGUGUCUCUUAUGAUGCAGAAACUCUGGAAGCACAUCAAGCAUAAGUACGAAGAGCCACGUGACGAGUGAAGCAGAAAUGCUGGAUUCCUGAUGGACCUUCUGUGAUCUUCACUACAAGCUCUUCUUCUUGACCACCGGCUGCUGAGGCAGAAAAUGUUUGUCCAUAUGUGGCAGUUUGAUCCAGAGUGCAUCCUCUCAAGAACAAGCUACCUGAACUUAUGAACUUAUUGUGCUGUGAAAUGUAGCUUAAUAAAAUACAUUCUAAGACAUUGUGUACUUCAGACCUUCCGUUUUAAUUUCCUCUGAGCUGAUUCCUUAGAAAUGUGGGACUUUAGCUCUCUAUUUUUGGAU